rnacentral:rRNA from 1 species
CCACACCUAAAAAACUUUCCACGUGAACUGUCAAACCUGUUCUGUGCUUGUGCUGGGUCUGCGUUUUCGGACGCGGACACGGUGGAGGCUGAACGAAGGUUGGUUUUCUUCUUGUGAGAGACCAGCUGAUAUAUUUUUCAAACCCCUUUUUACAAAAUGACUGAUCAAUACUGUGAGAACGAAAGUUCUUGCUUUAAACUAGAUAACAACUUUCAGCAGUGGAUGUCUAGGCUCGCACAUCGAUGAAGAACGCUGCGAACUGCGAUACGUAAUGCGAAUUGCAGAAUUCAGUGAGUCAUCGAAAUUUUGAACGCAUAUUGCACUUUCGGGUUAGACCUGGAAGUAUGUCUGUAUCAGUGUCCGUACAUCAAACUUGCCUCUCUUUUUUCUGUGUAGUCAGGAUUGGAGACGUGCAGAUGUGAAGUGUCUCGCGCACUUGCGUCUUCGGACGACAAGCUGUCGAGUCCUUUUAAAGCGACACGAUCUUUCUAUUGUUUCUGUGAAGCGUAUUGCUCGAACGCGGUGAUUUUCGGAUCGCUCGCAGUCGUCGGCGACUUCGGUGAGAACAUAAAGGAGGAAACCUCAAUUCGCGGUAUGUUCGGCUUCGGCUCGACAAUGUUGCUUAUUGUGUGUGGAAUCUGUUUUCGCCUUGAGGUGUACUGAUGGUUGUGUGCUUGAACUGGGAGUUGGUGUGUAGUAGAGCGGUGCAGCAUGCAUGGUUACGCCUUUUAUAUAGAGAGAUGUCUAUUUGGGAAAGUUGUACUUUUUGGCAAGCAUCUUGCCGACUGUAUCUCAAUUGGACCUGAUAUCAGACAAGACUACCCGCU